GACGGGACCCGCACAAGCGGUGGAUGAUGUGGUUUAAUUCGAUGCAACGCGAAAAACCUUACCCACCUUUGACAUGGCAGGAAUCCCGAAGAGAUUUGGGAGUGCUCGAAAGAGAACCUGCACACAGGUGCUGCAUGGCUGUCGUCAGCUCGUGUCGUGAGAUGUUGGGUUAAGUCCCGCAACGAGCGCAACCCUUGUCAUUAGUUGCCAUCAUUUGGUUGGGCACUCUAAUGAGACUGCCGGUGACAAACCGGAGGAAGGUGGGGAUGACGUCAAGUCCUCAUGGCCCUUAUGGGUAGGGCUUCACACGUCAUACAAUGGUCGGUACAGAGGGUUGCCAACCCGCGAGGGGGAGCUAAUCCCACAAAGCCGAUCGUAGUCCGGAUCGCAGUCUGCAACUCGACUGCGUGAAGUCGGAAUCGCUAGUAAUCGUGGAUCAGCAUGUCACGGUGAAUACGUUCCCGGGUCUU
rnacentral:rRNA from 1 species